ACCCCAGGCCCCACAGGGCAGAGGCGCGCCGCGGGGAGGACUCCGGCCGCUUCCGUGGCCCUCUCCUCUGCCGUAGUUGUUGGCGCUCUGGCCGGUUCUCCCCCUUCUCUUGCACCGCGUUGUCGGAGAGCCGCUGGGGAUGGAUAGGGAGGUGGGAAGCGCCUCCCGGGGUGCUGCGGACCGGGCCGAGCCUGGUCCGGGGCAGUGGGUUCGGGUCCGGGCCCCUCUCCCGGUCUGGCUCCCGGGUCCGCUCUCGGCAGCGCCGCCAGCCGGCCCCCGGCAGCAGCGCUCGCCGCGGACAGCCCGUUUUUCAAAAAACCAUGUGAGUCACCGCUCUGAGACAUAACACUACAGGCACCCGAUAAAUGCGGACAGAGGCUUGAAUGCGGAUCCGCCGAUAUUAACCUCCGCUUGGCAAACAUCAGAAUAAAGUCAAAUCCUAGAAACAAACAAAACUCUGGAAUCAGCAGACGAAAAGAAGGGGUGAAAAUGUGUCUUGAAGGAAAUAAAACAGAUAAAAGCACUUUCUCAAACGGUCAAACUACACCCGUGGAAAUUGGAACAAAACCCAGCAGAAAAUCCAAUAAAUAUUAAAAUUGCGGUA